rnacentral:rRNA from 1 species
CUGGCUCAGAUUGAACGCUGGCGGCGUGCUUAACACAUGCAAGUCGCGCGUGAAAGGACUUCGGUCCGAGUAAAGCGGCGCACGGGUGAGUAACGCGUGGAUGAUCUACCCAUGAGUUGGGAAUAACGGCUGGAAACGGUCGCUAAUACCGAAUACGCUCCGAUUUCAACUUCGGGGGAAAGGUGGCCUCUGCUUGCAAGCUACUGCUCAUGGAUGAGUCCGCGUCCCAUUAGCUAGUUGGUGGGGUAACGGCCCACCAAGGCGACGAUGGGUAGCCGGUCUGAGAGGAUGACCGGCCACACUGGGACUGGAACACGGCCCAGACUCCUACGGGAGGCAGCAGUGGGGAAUAUUGCGCAAUGGGCGAAAGCCUGACGCAGCGACGCCGCGUGAGGGAUGAAGGUCCUCGGAUCGUAAACCUCUGUCAGGAGGGAAGAACCGCCACGGUGCUAAUCAGCCGUGGUCUGACGGUACCUCCAAAGGAAGCACCGGCUAACUCCGUGCCAGCCGCAGC